rnacentral:rRNA from 1 species
UACGGGGGGAGCAAGCGUUGUUCGGAUUUACUGGGCGUAAAGGGCGCGUAGGCGGCGCAGCAAGUCACUUGUGAAAUCUCCGGGCUUAACCCGGAGCGGCCAAGUGAUACUGUCGUGCUAGAGUGCGGAAGGGGCUACUGGAAUUCUCGGUGUAGCGGUGAAAUGCGUAGAUAUCGAGAGGAACACCUGCGGCGAAGGCGGGUAGCUGGGCCGACACUGACGCUGAGGCGCGAAAGCGUGGGGAGCGAACAGG